AUAAAAAAAAGAGAGAAAAAAGUUUUCAAGUACUUCAUACUGAGUAAUCGGGCCUCUUUACCUAAGCAAGUAUUGAAUUUUGCAUCAAAAAGUAUAAAAGGCAAAGAAACUUUGUUAUAAAGCUAGUUUUGACUCGUAGCCUGUUUGAUUUGAGCAAGUAAGUCCGAAAAAUAUUCUAUAUAUAGUGCCCUAAAGCUAUC
rnacentral:lncRNA from 1 species